rnacentral:rRNA from 1 species
AUGGAUUCGUCGUGGAAUCAUGGCUAUGAAAAUGAUGAUGUUGAUGAUUUUGUAUUCAACGAGUUCAUCGUUUCAUCGGAUUCAGGCGAUGAGGAUGCUGAAAUGAUGAUGAUGAUGAUGAUGAUGAUGAUGAGCAUCCAAGAGGAGUUGGGCAAGGCAGACGAGCACGUCCUCAACUUCAGGGGUUUCAUCAAGGGGCGAAGAGUUAUUCCUCAUGAUAGGAUUGCCAGUGCACGCCUUCUGUACAUGGACUACUUCCCAGCAGUCCCAACAUUCCAUGAAUCUUCUUUCGUCAUCGCUAGCGGAUGA